rnacentral:rRNA from 1 species
CCUACGGGUGGCAGCAGUGGGGGAUAUUGGGCAAUGGGCGCAAGCCUGACCCAGCAACGCCGCGUGAAGGAAGAAGGCUCUCGGGUUGUAAACUUCUUUUAUCAGGGACGAAGCUAGUGACGGUACCCUAUGAAUAAGCCACGGCUAACUACGUGCCAGCAGCCGCGGUAAUACGUAGGCGGCAAGCGUUAUCCGGAUUUACUGGGUGUAAAGGGCGUGUAGGCGGGAAAGCAAGUCAGAUGUGAAAACCAUGGGCUCAACCUGUGGCCUGCAUUUGAAACUUUUUUUCUUGAGUGCUGGAGAGGCAGACGGAAUUCCUAGUGUAGCGGUGAAAUGCGUAGAUAUUAGGAGGAACACCAGUGGCGAAGGCGGUCUGCUGGACAGCGACUGACGCUGAGGCGCGAAAGCGUGGGGAGCAAACAGGAUUAGAUACCCCUGUAGUC